rnacentral:lncRNA from 1 species
UUUUUUUUUUUUUUUUUUUUUUUUUUUGUCUUUCUGUCUUUUCUUGAGCUGCUCCCGAGGCAUAUGGAGGUUCCCAAGCUAGGGGUCGAAUCGGAGCUGUAGCCAUCGGCCUACACCAGAGCCACAGCUCACAGCAAUGCCAGAUCCUUCACCCACUAAGCAAGGCCAGGGAUCGAACCCGCAACCUCAUGGUUCCUAGUCGGAUUCAUUAACCACUGCGCCACGACGGGAACUCCAGAGUGUAUUUUAUUUUUAAAACAUUAACUUUGCAGAGGAAAACAGGCAGUUAAAAAUUAAUUAAAUUAAUAAACAAAAUGAGUAAAGAAAACAUCUGCGCGCUUGCAUGCGUGCGCACACACACACACACACACACACACACAGCAGGGCUUCUGCAUACCAAACUCGAACGGAGUGGAGAGGAAAGGUUUGUCCUCUCCCAGGUGGAGAAGGAAAGAACUAUCCAAUUAGACUGAUGUACUGGACGGGCCAUCGCCUCCGAGGUACACAGAAGUCAAGGGCAAAUUCUUUGUCCUGAACACCAAGCCGAGCCUGAGCUCUCUACUCACAAACUAGGGCCUCCCCAGCACAAACCCACCGGGCAGCGACCUCGGAGGACAUGACUGUAAAAGCAGCCGCCGCUCUGCUGGAAUAGGCAGUCAAUCAAUCCUCAGUUUUGUCUGCACAAAGCUCACAAAGUAGACAGGGCGCCCCCGCCACGCCGCACCCCCCCGUGAUGGACAGAGCUGUUGUGUGUGGAGCGGAACACUUCUUAUUCUAAAACCUUGUCUGAUACCAAUUCACACGCCAUGUGGUCAGCCAGCAAGCUAACCAACCAAGGGGAGAGGUUCCAAGCUCCGGGCUGAAAUCCAUACAGUGACUCAGCCCUCGGGUCCAGUAUACCUCCCGGGAGCAAGAGAAAAGGCCCCCACGGAAGGGUACUGGAUCUGGGUCCCUGCAGUGCACUCUGGCUCUGCAACUUCAGGCAAGGCACUUGACCUCUCUGGGCCUCAAGUGCAUCAUCCCUCUACAUGCUGGACAAGAUAGCGAAGACACGUUACUUUGGAUGGUCUAUUUCUGCAGGUGCCGAAUUCCAUCUGGCACUCAGUAGAACACUCAAAUAACUAUUAAGGAUUUUUUUUCUUUUUUUAAACUCCUACCUCCCAUCAUUUUAUUACCCUAUCACAAAUGCUCUGGGGAUGAGCGGUACUAUUGCAACUUCAGGACAGUAAGAAAGCAUGCAUACUGCAGUGGAGAAGGCAAAGUCCUUAAAACGGCUUCCACCUUCUCCCCCAACUUCACCUGAACCACUAAGCACCACGCCCUCACACCUCCAUAGAGCAGAACAGCCUCGUGGUUAAAAAUCAGGCCGCUUGAAUUCAAAUCCCACCUCUUCACAUCCUGGCCAGGCGAUCUGGGCGAGUCACCUCACCAGCAGAUGCCUCAAUCUCUCCAUCUAUAAACAAGGAUAAAAUAAGUACCCUCGUAGAGGGCUGUUGUGAAGAUGAAAUGAGUGGAAAUAAGUAAAGCAUUUAGAAUGGAGCCUGGCGGGGCUUAAUAAAUGUUAAUAUAUGCUAGCUAUUAUUAUCCAUUCAUCCAACAAACUCUUACUGGGUAUUUAUUCUAACAGUGCCAGUUACUCUUGAAGACUCCAAGGAAACACAAAAAUAUCGAAUAGGACACAAUCCAGGACCCUUACGGUCUAGUGGGAAGAGGCCAACUUGAUCCAGUAAAUUCAAGCCCAUGAUGCCUUCUCCAAAGCUCUUGGGCCAGAAGGGUCUGGAGGUAGAUGCUUCUGGUUUCAGAGAGAUAAUGGGUACAUACACCUUUAUUAUAAGGCAUUCAUCUCCCCCUCUUCCCACUCCCCCUCCCUGGGGCCUAGAGCAGCAUCUGGGAUCAACCACUUGCACGGCCACACUAAGAGGGAUCAGGAGAUGCCACCAAGAGUCUCAAGACUGUUCAGGUAGAAUUUUGCAGCCAAACGAGUUACAAAGCCCAACCUCUGGCUUUCAGAACUUUUUUUUUUUUUUUUUUUUGUCAUUCUUUUUGUCUUUUCCAGGGCUGCACCUGAGGCAUAUGGAAGUUCCCAGGCUAGGGAUCUAAUUGGAACUGAGGCCACCGGCCUACGCCAGUGUCUACGGCUCCGAAUGGACCCCUAGCCUGCGAAUCUCCAUAUGCCGCAGGAGCGUCCCUAGAAAAAGACAAAAAAAAAAAAAGUAAGAAAGAAAAAG